UGCGAAUGGCUCAUUAAAUCAGUUAUCGUUUAUUUGAUAGUACCCUACUACUUGGAUAACCGUGGUAAUUCUAGAGCUAAUACAUGCUAAAAACCCCGACUUCGGAAGGGGUGUAUUUAUUAGAUAAAAAGCCAACGCCCUUCGGGGCUCCGUGGUGAUUCAUGAUAACUUCACGAACCGCAUGGCCUUGCGCCGGCGGUGGUUCAUUCAAAUUUCUGCCCUAUCAACUUUCGAUUGUUGGGUAUUGGCCAACAAUGGUUACGACGGGUAACGGGGAAUUAGGGUUCGAUUCCGGAGAGGGAGCCUGAGAAACGGCUACCACAUCCAAGGAAGGCAGCAGGCGCGCAAAUUACCCAAUCCCGACGCGGGGAGGUAGUGACAAUAAAUACUGAUACAGGGCUCUUUUGGGUCUUGUAAUUGGAAUGAGUACAAUUUAAAUACCUUAACGAGGAACAAUUGGAGGGCAAGUCUGGUGCCAGCAGCCGCGGUAAUUCCAGCUCCAAUAGCGUAUAUUAAAGUUGUUGCAGUUAAAAAGCUCGUAGUUGAACCUUGGCCCUGGCUAGCCGGUCCGCCUCACCGCGUGUACUGGUCCGGCCGGGGCUUUCCUCCUGGGGAUCCGCAUGGCCUUCGCUGGUCGUGCUGGGGAACCAGGACUUUUACUUUGAAAAAAUUAGAGUGUUCAAAGCAGGCAUCCGCUCGAAUACAUUAGCAUGGAAUAAUGGAAUAGGACGUGUGGUUCUAUUUCGUU
rnacentral:rRNA from 1 species